rnacentral:snRNA from 1 species
UAACUUACCUGGCGCAGAGGAUACUGUGAUCAAUCAGGCAGUUCCUCCAUGUGGAGGCUCAACAUUGCACUCUGUUGGGUUGAAGCGUGCGAUCUCCCCAAACGUGGGAGACUCGGGCGUGCAAUUUUUGGUAGUGGGGGACUGCGUUCGCGCGUCCCCCAU